UACGUAGGGGGCUAGCGUUGUCCGGAUUUAUUGGGCGUAAAGAGCGUGUAGGCGGCCAGGUAGGUCUGCUGUGAAAACUCGAGGCUCAACCUCGAGACGUCAGCGGAAACCAUCUGGCUAGAGUCCGGAAGAGGAGAGUGGAAUUCCUGGUGUAGCGGUGAAAUGCGCAGAUAUCAGGAGGAACACCAAUGGCGAAGGCAGCACUCUGGGACGUGACUGACGCUGAGACGCGAAAGCGUGGGGAGCAAACAGG
rnacentral:rRNA from 1 species